rnacentral:rRNA from 1 species
GGGGUACGUUUAAUCGGAUUACUGGGCGUAAGCGUGUGUAGGCGGUUCGGAAAGAAAGAUGUGAAAUCCCAGGGCUCAACCUUGGAACUGCAUUUUUAACUGCCGAGCUAGAGUAUGUCAGAGGGGGGUAGAAUUCCACGUGUAGCAGUGAAAUGCGUAGAUAUGUGGAGGAAUACCGAUGGCGAAGGCAGCCCCCUGGGAUAAUACUGACGCUCAGACACGAAAGCGUGGGGAGCAAACAGGAUUAGAUACCCUGGUAGUCCACGCCCUAAACGAUGUCAACUAGCUGUUGGGGCCGUUAGGCCUUAGUAGCGCAGCUAACGCGUGAAGUUGACCGCCUGGGGAGUACGGUCGCAAGAUUAAAACUCAAAGGAAUUGACGGGGACCCGCACAAGCGGUGGAUGAUGUGGAUUAAUUCGAUGCAACGCGAAAAACCUUACCUACCCUUGACAUGUCUGGAAAGCCGAAGAGAUUUGGCCGUGCUCGCAAGAGAACCGGAACACAGGUGCUGCAUGGCUGUCGUCAGCUCGUGUCGUGAGAUGUUGGGUUAAGUCCCGCAACGAGCGCAACCCUUGUCAUUAGUUGCUACGCAAGAGCACUCUAAUGAGACUGCCGGUGACAAACCGGAGGAAGGUGGGGAUGACGUCAAGUCCUCAUGGCCCUUAUGGGUAGGGCUUCACACGUCAUACAAUGGUCGGGACAGAGGGUCGCCAACCCGCGAGGGGGAGCCAAUCUCAGAAACCCGAUCGUAGUCCGGAUCGCAGUCUGCAACUCGACUGCGUGAAGUCGGAAUCGCUAGUAAUCGCGGAUCAGAAUGUCGCGGUGAAUACGUUCCCCGGGUCUUGUACACACCGCCCGUCCACCAUGGGGAAGUGGGUUUCACCAGAAGUAGGUAGCCUAACCGGUAAGGAGGGCGCUUACCACGGUGGGAUUAUGAUGGGGUAUAAGAGGAAACGGAAAAAAAAAAAAAAAAAAAAAAAAAAGGUGGAAGGG